AAUGCUUGAUUACACUCAGACCUAGCAGUCGUCUGGGCGCAGCUGGUUUAUGGAUCACUUUGUCACAAUGUUCCAUCCUUCCAGGUCCCCAUCCCCGCGGUGGGAAAACAUUGCUUUAGGCAGUGCUAGAGGACUUCAGCAGGCAUUGGCAGCUUCUGGAUUCAGGAUUAGAACAAAGAAGGAGGAGUCACAGCAAAGAUAGGAACAGAAGGCAGAGAGAACAGACAGAUGGGGGUGUUUGAGAAGGAGGGCCUUUGAGACCUCAGGGAGUGGGAGACACUGGCUCGAGAAUAAUAAUAAUGGCAAUUUCUCUCAUCUGUGUUUUCAGGGCAUGGACUGGAACUCCCAAUACCCCUGACAUGGGCUGAGUCAACGUGGUCAUGAACAUGUGACAGGAGGCAGCAGAAGUUGCAGAGAAGAGUGAGGCACGUUUGAAAAAGGCUGAAAAAUGUUUCUGUCCAGGCAAGGGUGUGUGCUGAAUGACUCAAGGAUUUUUUGGCCUCUGCCUGUGUCCUGGCCCUCACUGCACCCCCAAGA
rnacentral:lncRNA from 1 species